rnacentral:rRNA from 1 species
CCUACGGGAGGCAGCAGUGAGGAAUAUUGCGCAAUGGGGGAAACCCUGACGCAGCAACGCCGCGUGCAGGAAGAAGGUCUUCGGAUUGUAAACUGUUGUCGCAGGGGAAGAAGACAGUGACGGUACCCUGUGAGAAAGUCACGGCUAACUACGUGCCAGCAGCCGCGGUAAUACGGAAGGUCCGGGCGUUAUCCGGAUUUAUUGGGUUUAAAGGGAGCGUAGGCCGCAUGUCAAGCGUGCUGGGAAAUGUCCGGGCUCAACCCGGGCCUUGCAGCGCGAACUGGCGUGCUUGAGUCCGCGGAAAGCAGGCGGAAUUCGUCGUGUAGCGGUGAAAUGCUUAGAUAUGACGAAGAACCCCGAUUGCGAAGGCAGCUUGCUGCAGCGGAACUGACGCUGAUGCUCGAAAGCGCGGGUAUCGAACAGGAUUAGAUACCCUUGUAGUC